GACGAACGCUGGCGGCGUGCUUAACACAUGCAAGUCGAACGGAAAGGCCCUGCUUUUGUGGGGUGCUCGAGUGGCGAACGGGUGAGUAACACGUGAGUAACCUGCCCUUGACUUUGGGAUAACUUCAGGAAACUGGGGCUACUACCGUAUCUGAGCUCCUGCUGCAUGGUGGGGGUUGGAAAGUUUCGGCGGUUGGGUAUGGACUCGCGGCUUAUCAGCUUGGUGGUGGGGUAGUGGCUUACCAAGGCUUUGACGGGUAGCCGGCCUGAGAGGGUGACCGGCCACAUUGGGACUGAGAUACGGCCCAGACUCCUACGGGAGGCAGCAGUGGGGAAUAUUGCACAAUGGGCGGAAGCCUGAUGCAGCAACGCCGCGUGCGGGAUGACGGCCUUCGGGUUGUAAACCGCUUUCGCCUGUGACGAAGCGUGAGUGACGGUAAUGGGUAAAGAAGCACCGGCUAACUACGUG
rnacentral:rRNA from 1 species